UAUGCUCUAUACAAUCCAUAACACGUAUGAUGACACUGAAAAUAAAGUCGUUGCAGAUCUAGGAUGUGGUUGUGGAGUACUUAGCAUUGGAACUGCAAUGUUAGGAGCAGGGUUGUGUGUUGGAUUUGACAUAGAUGAAGAUGCAUUGGAAAUAUUUAAUAGGAAUGUGGAAGAGUUUGAGUUAACAAAUAUUGACAUGGUUCAAUGUGAUGUGUGCGUAUUAUCUAACACAAUGUCCAAGUCAUUCGAUACAGUAAUUAUGAAUACUCCCUUUGGGACCAAAAAUAAUAAAGGGACAGAUAUGGCUUUUCUAAAGACUGCUUUGGAAAUGGCAAGAACAGCAGUAUAUUCCUUACACAAAUCCUCAACUAGAGAACAUGUUCAAAAGAAAGCUGCGGAAUGGAAAAUCAAGAUAGAUAUUAUAGCAGAGCUUCGAUAUGACCUGCCAGCAUCAUACAAGUUUCAUAAAAAGAAAUCAGUGGACAUUGAAGUGGACCUAAUUCGGUUUUCCUUUUAAAAGCCCCUACAAACAAAAGUAGUUUAAAACCUAUUUAAAAUGAAUAAAAAGUUGGUUUACUAAAAAAAA